rnacentral:rRNA from 1 species
GCACAAGCGGUGGAGCAUGUGGAUUAAUUCGAUGCAACGCGAAGAACCUUACCUGGGUUUGACAUGCACAGGACGCCGGCAGAGAUGUCGGUUCCCUUGUGGCCUGUGUGCAGGUGGUGCAUGGCUGUCGUCAGCUCGUGUCGUGAGAUGUUGGGUUAAGUCCCGCAACGAGCGCAACCCUUGUCUCAUGUUGCCAGCACGUAAUGGUGGGGACUCGUGAGAGACUGCCGGGGUCAACUCGGAGGAAGGUGGGGAUGACGUCAAGUCAUCAUGCCCCUUAUGUCCAGGGCUUCACACAUGCUACAAUGGCCGGUACAAAGGGCUGCGAUGCCGCAAGGUUAAGCGAAUCCUUUUAAAGCCGGUCUCAGUUCGGAUCGGGGUCUGCAACUCGACCCCGUGAAGUCGGAGUCGCUAGUAAUCGCAGAUCAGCAACGCUGCGGUGAAUACGUUCCCGGGC